rnacentral:sRNA from 1 species
ACAAAAUGGCAACAGUAGGUUAAGUCGCACAUUUAAGAUUUCAGUGUGUUAGCCUUCAGAAGACAGUUCCCAGGGAGAAAAGCUCUGAGCUCUUAGGGCCAUUUCUGAGGCUGCCUAGUUGUGUAAUACUGUGUGAGAGAUGGUAAUCAGAAAAGAGAAGGUCCAGGGUCGCAGGCGACAAUACUGCGCGCCUUAUUUUUGGUGCUGUAUCGUUGCCGGGUCAUUUUUUUUUUUUUCCUGUUCACAUCACCACCGUGCUUUGCCCAUGCUGGCACUUUUGUGGCUUUUGUUGCUCUCUUGGCUUCUCUGCAUUGCGUCUCAGCAAGGCCUACUAGUGCUACAUCCCGUUUCUGUACCACGCCCAGUCCCCACCCCUCACCCACACUAAUCGAACUAACCAGGUCAGGGCCUCAAGCGUCCACCUUACACUGGCAUUCCACAAACUGGAGGAAGAAGCUUUUCAUCCCAGAAGAAGCACCUCAGCUAAGGAAUUAGACUGGCCUGUAGGCUCACCUCUGGGGAACUCUCUUGGUUAAUGAUUAUGUGGGAGUGCCCAGUCAAAUGUGGGUGGUGCCACCUUGGGGCAGGUGGUCCCGGGUGUCUAAGAAAGCCAGGUGAGAGUGCUGUAGAUAACAACGCCAUUUACAACCCUCCUUGGAGAGGUUUCUGCUUCGGGUCCCACCUCCAGAUUCCAGCCUUGGGUUCCUGCCUGACUUCCCUUAGUGAUGACCUAUUACCUGGAAUUAUAAGACGAAACACCCAGAACAGCCAAAUGCUUUUGGUCAGUGUUUUAUCACAGCCACAGAAAGCAAACUAGGACACCAGGUAAUCGGAAGCCAGUCCAGGAGACUAAUUCACAGCAAGGUACUUGGUCACUCAUUCAUCAAACUUUUAUCAUACUGCUCCCCCUCCCCCAGGCCCUGUGCUGGAAGUGAAGGCCUGAUCAAGGUUGUCUUUGAUAUAUUAUUAAUGUUCGGGGUAGUGACCUUGGCUCUGGGUUCGCAUACUCCUGGGUUCAAAUCUCACCCUGUCACUUGCAGAGAUGUAGGGUUCAGGAAAAAAAAAUUACCUACCUCUUUUUAGAAGCCUCAGCUUCUUCCUUUGCAAAGUGGGAAUAAAAAUGAAUCUUAUACAUGUUUGGGGGGGUUCUUACAGAUAAUCAUAUUGCAAGCACAUAUUACUUGUCUAUUAGUAUUUUAGGCUUAUUGUAUACACUAUACGAUACGUAUGCUGUAGACUAUAUUAAGUGCCUGUUACUAUAUUAUCUUUAUUGUUCCAUGUAUGAUUCAUGUGGACUUUUAAUCUCUUAAGUUUGGAUCUAAAUUGUCAGUGGUUUAGGCGCUAAGGACUUUAAGACCCUUGACAGGUUUGUUCAAAGAUAUUUAGGGAUCUGGAGACGUCUGAGUUUCACCAGUGCCUGUGGCCUUGGUUCUGACAACAGAAUCCCCUGGUGUCAGUGUCUCAGGAACUGAAUCAGAGCAGAGUGCUGCAGGCAGAGGAGGUGUUAUGAGGAUACACACAGCCUCAACCACCUCCACAAUAUAGGAAAAAAUCUAUCACGGUGCAGUGCUGAAGUAAAUGAGAUUUGGGCAAUAUCAUAAGGAAAACGAUAGCGAUUUGGACACAGAGACACAGGAGAGAGCCCAACAUGAAGGAAGAUCUAUAUGAAGCCUCUACAAGCCAAGGAGAACCAUCUACCAUGAGAAAUUGGAAACAAGCAAGAGAGGAUUCUCUUCUAGAUCCUCCCCGGCAGAAGAAUGCUCCCCAUUAACUCCUGUUUGGUCAGUAAGUGGCUGGGGCUUAUGACUGGGCAGAGAGGAUAGGAAGAUGGGACUUACAAUCAAAUGAGGGGUCUUGAGAGAGACCAAGAGAAGAGAAAGAAAAACAAGAGAUAAGACUAACAUCAGAUGGGAUGGACCAGAAGCACAUGGCCAAGGGAAGUUGACCCUGAGGACAGGCUGAUGGAGCAGAAGCAGCCAGGGAGACAUCAGAUUGGCAAGUGGUGGGCAUAUAUGUGAGUUUUUUUAACAGCUAAAGGUAUUAGCAUCACUCAGAAUCUGCCUCGCAUAAUACCUACAGCUUGUUAAUAAAUUGCAGUGUCUCUGUGUUGUUUACUCGAGAACCGUACAUGCAAAAAUGGGAUAUAUAUAUAUAUAUAUAUAUAUAUAUAUGCAUAGCAA